UAUGUUUUGUCUUGUACUUCCAGCCUCUACCUGGCUGCUAUGCAUUCAAAUCACAAUGUGGACCGACCACAGGCCGAAACAAAGGAAGGAGUACCGAUUUAUAAAAUCUCCUUUGCAAAGGCUAGGAAGGGAGAGUGCAGAGCUAAACCACAAAAAACACAGCAGACCUUUGGUUACGUUGAUGACAUCAUGGAUGUCAUUUUUGAGGAAGUCUUUCCCAACCCUACGCCAUACACAGAGGCCCUGUUGGAGAUCCCUGUUCCAGAGCCCCUAACGGCACAGUAUGAGAAGCCUGACAAGGUAGCGGUCAUCAGCAGCCUCGUAUCAAGGUUCAAACAGGGGGACGUUUAAAACCGACAUAGUGGCCUUCCUCAGCAGGAAACUCGGAGCGGAUACGCAGGACCACACAAGCUGGAAUCACAACCCGGAUACUGCGUCCCAGGAGGCCCCAGCACCAGCUCACAAAGGAACGAUAGGAGAGAUACCAGUAGCGACUGAACAAUUGAUUCAGAGAUUAAGUCUUGCAGAUUUAUCAUUGCUUUGUGUUAUGAAAAUAAAUAUUACUAUG